AGUCACUGACAUUAGACUACCCCCGUAGUCCCAGCCGUAAACUAUGCGCGUUAGGUGUAUCGGUGACCACGAGUUACCGAGGUGCCGAAGGGAACCGUGAAACGUGCCGCCGUGGGAAGUACGGUCGCAAGGCUAGAAACUUACAGGAAUUGGCGGGGAGCACCACAACAGGUGGAGCCUGCGGUUUAAUUGGACUCAACGCCGGGAAGCUCACCGGAUAGGACAGCAGAAUGAUUGCCGGGCUGAAGACCCUGCAUGACUAGCUG
rnacentral:rRNA from 1 species